rnacentral:tRNA from 1 species
GGAGGGGUGCCCGAGCGGUCGAAGGGGCUCGCCUGGAAAGCGAGUGUGCCGCUUUCGCGGUACCGAGGGUUCGAAUCCCUCCCCCUCCG